UACGUAGGUGGCAAGCGUUGUCCGGAUUUACUGGGCGUAAAGAGCGCGCAGGCGGCCCGGCAAGUCGGGUGUGAAAUCCCGGGGCUCAACCCCGGGACUGCAUUCGAUACUGCCGGGCUAGAGGUAGGUAGGGGAGAUCGGAAUUCCUGGUGUAGCGGUGAAAUGCGCAGAUAUCAGGAGGAACACCGGUGGCGAAGGCGGAUCUCUGGGCCUUACCUGACGCUCAGGCGCGAAAGCGUGGGGAGCAAACAGG
rnacentral:rRNA from 1 species